AUUUGUGUAGAUAACAGUAGAUUAAAGUCUAAAAUAAGAGAGGAGAUGGUGGAUGAAAUAGGGGAGUUUUGACAGCCUAAUUGUAAUUGGAAGCCUUUCUUGGCCUGCCCUCGGCGCGGAACCGUCCCGCACUCACGCAUCAGCGUCGCACACUCGCACGUGCCUCCGUCUUCGCUCCCUCGGUCCCUCCGCAGCGUCAGAUCGACCGUCGCUCGCGGAGCCCUAGCGACGCCGUUCUCAAGUCCGAGCCGGAGUAGCACGAGAGCCUUGCGGAUAUGAGUCGCGCCGCGGCAGCAAGAACGAUGGAUGAGGAAGCCGAGUACCUGGAGACGGCUCGGGCCGACCGCUCCGUGUGGCUCAUGAAGUGCCCCCCGGUCGUUUCCCGCGCCUGGCAGGCCGCCUCCGCCUCUUCCUCCGAUGCUGCCAACGCCAACCCCGUCGUUGCCAAGGUCGUCCUUUCCCUUGACCUGUUGCGCCAAGAAGAACGCCCGGAAGAGCCUACGCUCCAGUUCAAGAUGGAAUUGGCUCAAACUAACACCGGGAAUACACCUAAGAGCUACUCUUUGAAUAUGUUCAAAGAUUUCGUUCCUAUGUGUGUUUUCUCCGAAUCUAACCAAGGGAAACUUUCAUGUGAAGGAAAAGUCGAGCAUAAAUUUGACAUGGAACCUCACAGCGAUAAUUUGGCGAACUAUGGAAAGUUAUGCCGUGAAAGAACACAAAAGUACAUGGUUAAAUCUAGACAAGUGCAGGUACUUGACAAUGACCAUGGAAUGAGCAUGAGGCCAAUGCCUGGCAUUGUUGGUCUCAUAUCUUCUAGUUCAAAGGAAAAGAAGAAGCAAGCACCAGUGAAACCAUCUGAUGCCAAAAGAACUCGUAGGGAUCGCACGGAGAUGGAAAACGUUAUAUUCAAGCUUUUUGAAAGGCAGCCCAAUUGGGCCCUAAAGGCACUCGUGCAAGAAACUGACCAGCCAGAGCAAUUCCUGAAGGAGAUAUUGAACGAUCUGUGUGUGUAUAAUAAACGAGGUCCAAACCAGGGAACGCAUGAGCUCAAGCCUGAGUACAAGAAAUCCACAGGGGACACUGAUACUGCUUGAAGAUGAGAGACGACUUGGUCAAGGAUACCAUCAAUGCUAAAGGAAGAUCAUCGCCUCUUUAAAAAGCUUAUGAACAUGUGAACAAGCCGAUGAAUGUUUUAUCUUUAUGGAUUGCAGUUGCAGCAGUCUGAACACCUGGUUUUAAUCUAAAGCGAAUAGAUUGGAAGACAAAGCUUCAAUGUCGAUGAGAGGACUUUAGAGGAGAGAAGAAAUAAGAAGCUUCUACGAAUAGAAGAGAAGGCGUGUGUGACAAGUCUGUGGAGCAAAAUGAUAUUAUUGUACUCUCUUGGAUACAAAGAGUGACUAUGUAAUAGCUAGAGAAGAGUGUAAUUUUAUAGAAAUGUGUAAAGGACUCGACUCAUAUAUAGAUGAACAAUAUAAUCACUAUAGGAGUCAGCUACUUGUAAACAUCACACUUGUUACAUUCUUACCAGAGAGCUUUCGAAGACAGUGGUGUAGCUGCA